UCUGGGUGGAGAUGACCUCCAUCCUUGUAGGAAGAGGAUGCUUGAGGAGCGAGCACUGCAGCUUUUGAAAGGUAAUGUUAUAUUACUCAGUCUGGAAGUCAGGGAAGGAGAAGCAAAGACAUCUGCAAAACCGAACUGCUGUCCUCGAAGGCAAAUGUUUAUUUCUCCCUUUCCUGUUGGAGAACAAUUUCUGCCUGGUCAGAAGUAGAUGCCAAAAUUAGCAAUGCAUGUGUAGGGAGUACCAGCCUGCGCCGACAGGACCCUGCUGUCGAGAACCAAGAGCUGCUUCCACUAGUGCUGCUUCUCCAGUGUCCUCCCAGCAGGAAUAUAAAGCCCAUGGGU